CAAGAACACGAAGGGAACGUACAAAUCUGAGUGUCCCUGCUUUAGACGCCAGAGGUCGUGGAGAGGACAGGGUGUCCUGAGGAUGGUGCCCUCGUGUGAAGGGGCAGGCGGUACACGCGUGGCGUGCAGAGCAGGCCUGCCGCCUGAGAACUGCAGAGCGAGGGGACAUGGACUGAGCUUCUUCAUUUAAGGAAGGAAACGCCUCGCCGCCUCCUAUGUGCUGAGCUUGGCUCUGAGCACCGGGAGCCUUGAAUAGUGCCGCUGCCCUGGGCAGGGAUGGGGGGGGUGUGCUGUACGGGGAAGACGGAGGAGAUGGAGGUCAAGGGAGGUCAGUGGUCACCCCAGGCAGGGGCUGAUGAAGUGCAAUAAGGAGCCACUUCAUUCCAGAGACCGGAGGCCUCCAAGCUGGGAAAUAAGGGCCUCUGGGCACAGCCCCUGCCAGUCCUGCGGCGCGUGGGGCAAGGUGCACGGAGUGCUGCUGCCAGUAGCCGUUGGGGCCUCAGAUGGGGCGGGGGGGGCCUCUGGAGAAGAGACAGCAAGGAGAUGACCCCAACCCUGGAAAGACAGAGCCACCACUGUCUGAGCUUGCUGGAGCCGUUAAUCGGUCUUUUGCCACUUUAAUUUGCGUGCCCUGAGGCCAGAAUCCAAGAGGGUAGAAGGAAGACAGCAGUGAAGUUUCCACAGCCUGAUCCGGGCACUGGUGCGAUUCUGCGAGCUCGCCCACCUCAGCUCAUUGCCACUUGAGGCUACGCUCCACCUGGAAAUGCUCGUGAUUCCUGGCACCAGACAGACACCGGGGUCAUCCGUGCUUAGAGCGGAGUGGCUGGCGAGGUGAGCACACAGGGAGAGUGGAGGAGACUCCCCAAGCAUGGGGGUGCAGAGGCUUCAGGCCAGCUAGAGAUCCCCGUGGGGUCCUUGGGGGGCCUGGGCUUCCCCAGAAGCCCCCGAGACACUGACCUGAAGGCUCCAGAGUCCUAGAGAAUCAGGAAGGCGCCCGAAGGCACCACCUUCCUCAGCAAGGGUGGCAAUGUGAGCCCAGGGGCGGGGGUUUCUCCCGGGUCACCGGGCAGGCUGGCCAAGGCCGGGCCCUCCGGCACUUUCCUCUGGAAAUAGCACCUGCCAGGAGGGGGUGACAGGGACCGGGAGUGACACGGUGAGAUGGGGUGGAGGGGCGGCCUCCUGGCCUGCAGCCGAGUCUCCCUGGCGGGUACGAGUGUGACAGUGAGGGACAGCCCAACAUCCCUGGCACCAGACAGCGCGGUGACCGUUGUGGGAGCCUCUGUGCCCGGUCCCUCAAGUGUCCGUGUCACACAAUCGAGGCAUAGUGGUCUGUAAAGAUGAAGACCCUAGAAGGGAGUGUGUACGUGUGACCCUCGGGUCACCUACUCCUCUACUUAUGCCCCUAAUUUAGCAGAAUCACCUCCUGUCCUCCGCGUGGCUGUGCAGAUGGCACAGAUCGGAGAAGAGGCUUGGGGCUUGGGUGCCGGAGCAGGCUUGCUUGCCUUCCUCCCCGAGGCUACUGCAUUACUCCACCCGUUUGAACACCCUCUUUGGUGGGGGAAACAUUCGCUUUCUUAGUGCUGAUUGUGUAUUUCCUGCCAAAACUGAGCUGGGAGCUUGGAGCAAUCCCACUGAAACCUGAGCCGCACAGCCCAGCCCAGCCCGAGGCCUGGAGUCUGCUUCCUCUCCUGGGAAGAUGACAGGGUGAGGUCAUGGCACGCGGGCUGGAGCUGCAGAGAUGCAGCCCUUCCAGAAACCGAGACCAGACGAGUGCCUCCCAAGAAAACAUUCUGGAAGCCAGGUUUUAAUCAACAUUAAAUGAAUCACGGAUUUUUAUAAAGACGGGUAAAUUCCGAUGGUGGCCUGUCUGGAUUUGUUUUAAAACUUAAAACGUACGUUUGGCUUUGAGAAAUGAGAGUACGCUCACAUACCAGCUCCAA